UUUAAAAUGACCACUUUGGCAUUUGAAUCAAAUACCCAGAAUUACCUAAAGCAAAGGUUUAUGCUGGGAGAAUUCCAGAACAGUCUCUUAGGGUUUAGGACCAACCAAGAGAAUGAGCCUGCAGGAGAGGUUGUCCUUCCGUGACCCAAGGGCCUCUGCACUUCAGGAACAUCCAUCUGAGUGUCUGCCACAGGAACUACUGUGUCACAAAACCAUCCAAAAAAUUGCGGAACCCAGGCCUGUUGGGAAACAAAAGUAGCCUUAGUUCAGGAAAGAGUACCCCAUGCAGUGAAACAAUCAAGGACUUGAAAACUCCAUUUCAGUUUCAAGCUCACUCUCCUAUCCAGGCAAUCCAAAAGGAAAUCAGGCCUGAAUAUUCAUUGGAAGGACUGAUGUUGAAGCUGAAACUCCAAUACUUUGCCCACCUGAUGCGAAGGACUGACUCCUUGAAAAAGACCCCAGUGCCUGGAAAGAUUGAAGGCAGGAGGAGAAGGGGAUGGCAGAGGAUGAGAUGGUUGGAUGGCAUCAUCAACUCGAUGGACAUGAGUUUGAGCAAGCUCUGGGAGUUGGUGAUGGACCAUGAAACCUGGCGCGCUGCAAUCCAUGGGGUCACAAAGUCAGACAGGAUUGAGCGACUGAACUGAACUGAACUCCCAUCCAGGGUUGCUGCUGGCUGGGAGACUGCUUUUGGGAAGGAGGUGUGGCGAGGGUCUUCUCUGUUCCCCAGCUGAAGUUUCUUCUCCCACUCACAGCUGCCUCUGGCUCCUUCAGGGUUCACAGGUAAGGGCUGGGGGAGAGGUUCCCAGUGGCUCUCAAGGCUAGAGGUGGUGGUAGGCUAAACACCCUGAAGUGGACACUCCGUCUCUCCUCUGCAGGGCUUGCCUUCCCAGAACUGGUCCCAGAGCUGAUGGACAGAUGGUGGAAGCAGACAUCUGCCUGGGUUGCAGAGCAGUGCAUGCUGGGUAGACUGAACACGUGUGUCUGCCCAUCACUGUGAAGACGAUUUUUCAUUGGGAAGGAAAAAUCUCAUCAGAGGAGGGGAGGAUAUGCACUGCUUUCCCCCUCCCUUAGGUGACCUGGCAUCUCACUUGGGAAUGGGGGAUAAAUAGUUGGCACAUCUUGUCUCAAAGCCAUGCUGUCCAAUAUGACAGCCACUGGUCACGUGUGUCUACCGAGCACAUGAGAUGCGUCCUAAGCAGGGAACACACACUGGCUCUCCACAACUUGGUAUGAAAAAUAAUGUAAAAUCUCUCGUUAACA